rnacentral:rRNA from 1 species
CACGUAGUUAGCCGGGGCUUCUUAGUCAGGUACCGUCUUCUUUCUUCCCUGCUGAUAGGGCUUUACAUACCGAAAUACUUCUUCACCCACGCGGCGUCGCCGCAUCAGGGUUUCCCCCAUUGUGCAAUAUCCCCCACUGCUGCCUCCCGUAGGAGUCUGGGCCGUGUCUCAGUCCCAAUGUGGCCGUCCGCCCUCUCAGGCCGGCUACCGAUCGUCGCUUUGGUGGGCCCUUACCCGCCAACUGGCUAAUCGGACGCGGAUCCAUCGCUUGCCGGAUUUCUCCUUUUCGCACUCUGCCAUGCGGCACCGUGCGCUUAUGCGGUAUUAGCGGCUGUUUCCAGCCGGUAUCCCCCUGCAUGCGGCAGGUUAUCCACGCGUUACUCACCCGUCCGCCACUCGGACAGACUUCACUAGGUUCCGUCUGUCCCGUUCGACUUGCAUGUGUUAGGCACGCCGCAGCGUUCAUCCUGAGCCAGGAUCAACUCU